ACUCAAAUGAAUUGACGGGGGCCCGCACAAGCGGUGGAGGAUGUGGUUCAAUUCGACGCUACGCGAAGAACCUUACCUGGGCUCGAAAUGCUAGGUAAACCCCAUGAAAAUGGGGCUGCCCGCAAGGGUGACCUAGUAUAGGUGCUGCAUGGCUGUCGUCAGCUCGUGUCGUGAGAUGUUGGGUUAAGUCCCGCAACGAGCGCAACCCUUGUCGUUAGUUACAAUCGGGUCAUGCCGGGGACUCUAACGAGACUGCCGGUGGUAAACCGGAGGAAGGUGGGGAUGACGUCAAGUCCUCAUGGCCCUUAUGUCCAGGGCUACACACGUCCUACAAUGGGUGGGACAACGGGUUGCCAGGCCGCGAGGCCGAGCUAAUCUCUUAAACUCACCCUCAGUUCAGAUUGCAGUCUGCAACUCGACUGCAUGAAGCUGGAAUCGCUAGUAAUCGCGGAUCAGAACGCCGCGGUGAAUACGUUCCCGGGCCUUGCACACACCGCCCGU
rnacentral:rRNA from 1 species